GAUCUUUAUUCCUGUGUUGCCCUAAGGUAAUUGUCACUGCCACUGAAUUCCUGUUCCACUAGCAAAAGAGCAGGCCAGCUGUGCGGUGGGAGGGACAGUUUCUUGCAGAGGCACACAGAAGAUCCCUCAGCUUAUAAAUGGAGAUUGGCUCAGAAUUUAAAACCAAGACUCUGACUCCAGAGCCUGUUUUCUUAAUUCUUCUUCCCAGGAUUUUGAAGGACCUCACUCUCAUUUUCAUCAGGAACAGUGAAGAGAGUUAGAUCCUUCUUCCAUAUUAAUUCUUCCAUCUUCCAGCUAAUACCAUUUAUCUACCCACUCACCUCUCCAUGCAUCCACCCCUCUAGCCAUCCAUCCAUCCAUCCAUCCAUCCAUCCAUUCAUCCAUUCAUCCAUCCAUUCAUGUAUGCUUACAUUUACUUAUUUGCACCUUAACUACCAAAUGUGUAACAAUUCCUUUCGGUAACAAUUGCUUUUAUAUCAUCAUGAGCCUCAUCACAGUGACUAAUUUCAGAGAAAGAUUUGAGGAUCUGGACUUAGAGAUUGGCAUUGAAUGUCGCUGAGCAAACAACAGACAGAUGUUAAGAAGAGCUCUGCUGUUUGGGAGUCUCCCUUCCUAGGAGUGCUCCCUGAAGGCUCCACUCUUUGGACUCCACUAAUAGAUUUCUUUGCCUUUUGGCUUUCGGCUGGAUCCGGUCAAUGGUUGGGGAGAGGAAGACACAAGCAGCAUGCCAGAGGAGAUAUGGAGGAGAGUUGGAUUGAUAUUUAUUUUCCUGGAUUUUGCCACUCAGACUUGCUUUGGGCUGGUUGCAACCCUUGACUGAAGUUCAUCCUCCUAUUAGGGACUUCUGGGUAUUUGCUUCCUCAUCUUCAUCCUUCAUCAAGCCCUUACAGCUCCAGCCUUUUGCACUAUCUCCAGUUAUUUCUCUACCUUUGCCCAUGCCUUUGUAAUAAUUCACUUUGUUAAAUUUUCUUUGAAUUAUCCAAAUUUCCUGCCACAAGCCCUCUGAUACACAAUCAGUUGGAGUUAUGGAACCCUAAAGGAAGUCUUUUAACCUAUUUAUGUGUGAUAGUUCUCCAUUGAACGUUAUGUAAUACCAGCCUUCACUUUUACCAGGAAGUUGUAAAGGCAAAAUGAGGAAGUAGAAAAAGGGGCUCUGGGAGGCUUAAAAUAAAAAAAAUAAUUACAAAGUAAGGCA
rnacentral:lncRNA from 1 species